GUGUUUGUUUCUCCGUUUGUUCUGGAAUCACACCAGGAAGUACUUCAAAUCUUUUCAGCACUUUAUGUAGAUUGACAAGGCAUCUUCGAUUCACCGUAGAAUUUUGUACGACAACGCAGCCUCUUUCAAGUGGAGGCGACAAGACCGAGAUAGUCAAGUAUGAGCAGGUAGCCGAAUGUCAUCAUCUACAGUACUGACGACAUAGCUUAUUUACUCUGCUUCAGCUACUCUUUGUUGUACGUCUCCUGAAUGCUCGAACUUGCUUAUUACUUUGUAAGAAUUUUAGCGGCAACUGUUAAUUACUAAUCACUUGGUACAAAGAGAAGAGAUAGAGUACACGAGCCAAUGGAAGCGAUGCGGUAUGAAAGAGAAAGAGCAAAGUAUUGAUGUAGAACAAGCUGCAAGGCAGAGCAGCUUUUNNNNN
rnacentral:lncRNA from 1 species